UACGAAGGGGGCUAGCGUUGCUCGGAAUCACUGGGCGUAAAGCGCACGUAGGCGGACUCUUCAGUCGGUGGUGAAAUCCUGGAGCUCAACUCCAGAACUGCCUUCGAUACUGAGAGUCUCGAGUCCGGGAGAGGUGAGUGGAACUGCGAGUGUAGAGGUGAAAUUCGUAGAUAUUCGCAAGAACACCAGUGGCGAAGGCGGCGCACUGGCCCGGUACUGACGCUGAGGUGCGAAAGCGUGGGGAGCAAACAGG
rnacentral:rRNA from 1 species